rnacentral:rRNA from 1 species
CGAUAUCGACGUAGUUUGAUCCUGGCUCGAGGAUGAACGCUGGCGGCGUGCUUAACACAUGCAAGUCGAACGAUCGCAAGAUAGUGGCGCACGGGUGAGGAACACGUAGCUAACCUGCCUUUGGGUCUGGGAUAACGUCGCGAAAGCGACGCUAAGACCGGAUAAGCUCCCGGGUUGUAGAGACCAGAGAGAAAAGGGGCAAGACGCCUGAAGAGGGGGCUGCGGCGCAUCAGCUAGUUGGUGGGGUAAAGGCCUACCAAGGCAACGACGCGUAAGGGGUCUGAGAGGAUGAUCCCUCACACUGGGACUGAGACACGGCCCAGACUCCUACGGGAGGCAGCAGUGAGGAAUAUUGCACAAUGGGGGCAACCCUGAUGCAGCGACGCCGCGUGGGUGAUGACGGCCUUCGGGUUGUAAAGCCCUUUUGCCACUGACGAGAACGGACGGUAGGUGGCGAAUAAGCCUCGGCUAACUACGUG